AUUGAACGCUGGCGGCGUGCUUAACACAUGCAAGUCGAUCGGUAACGCGGGGGCAACCCUGGCGACGAGAGGCGGACGGGUGAGGAACGCUUGGGAAUCUGCCUAUCAGCGGGGGACAACACGGGGAAACUCGUGCUAAUACCGCAUACGCUCUACGGAGGAAAGCCGGGGACCGCAAGGCCUGGCACUGAUAGAUGAGCCCAAGCCGGAUUAGCUAGUUGGCGGGGUAACGGCCCACCAAGGCGACGAUCCGUAGCUGGUCUGAGAGGACGAUCAGCCACACUGGGACUGAGACACGGCCCAGACUCCUACGGGAGGCAGCAGUGGGGAAUAUUGGGCAAUGGGGGAAACCCUGAUCCAGCGACGCCGCGUGGGUGAAGAAGGCCUGCGGGUUGUAAAGCCCUUUCGGUAGGGACGAAAGCUCUCGACCUAACACGUCGGGAGGUUGACUUAACCUACAAAAGAAGCACCGGCUAACUCUGUGCCAGCAGCCGCUGUAACAC
rnacentral:rRNA from 1 species